UACGUAGGGUGCAAGCGUUGUCCGGAAUUAUUGGGCGUAAAGAGCUCGUAGGCGGUUUGUUGCGUCGGCUGUGAAAUCCCGAGGCUCAACCUCGGGUCUGCAGUCGAUACGAGCAAACUAGAGUGUUGCAGGGGAGACUGGAAUUCCUGGUGUAGCGGUGAAAUGCGCAGAUAUCAGGAGGAACACCGGUGGCGAAGGCGGAUCUCUGGGCCUGUUCUGACGCUGAGGAGCGAAAGCAUGGGGAGCGAACAGG
rnacentral:rRNA from 1 species